rnacentral:lncRNA from 1 species
GCCUUUUAGAUGGAUACUUCCGGUGUGUUUUUUCGACCACUUUCCGCAAGCAUCGAGGAAGCGGUUUCAAAACACAUACACAUUGUACAUAUAAAGGCAAUGUAAUGAGGCCUCUUUGAUCAGAGAACGGGAAGUCUCCACUCCGAAAUUUUUCAGAAUGGGUAAACUGUCAAUGUUAGCAAUUUUAGCCGUUGUUAGUGUGGCCGGACUGGCGGUGACACAUGCUGGUGGAAUGUAUCAUGGUGGGAAAAUGCCAUAUAUGAUGGGAGGUUAUGGCGGCGGAGGCUUCGGCGGCGGAGGUUUCGGCGGCGGCGGCGGCGGCGGAGGUUUCGGCGGUGGCAUUUUUGGAAUGAUCAUUUUCCUUGUUCGUAUUCAUAUUGAUUAUUCAAUUAUUAUUCGGCUCUUUGGGCGGCGGCGGAAUUGGUGGCAUUGGCGGCGGCGGCGGAGGCGGUAAAAGGGGCGGCGGCGGCAUCGACUACUAGAAAUCUGAACAUUUUACAAUAACGAAUUACAGACAAGCAAAGAACAAACUCCAUGCGAUCGUAAUGUGUCACUUUUACCACCUUGUUACAUUAUGAAGAAAUAAAAAUUAUAAAAUAUUUA